AGUUCUCAACUUGUCAAAUGAUCUCGGAGACUAUAGCAAGGUUGAACUGAAGAUCUGCUUAACUGAUUCCCUGGCUUAGUUCCAGCAUGUGCAAUGAUGCAGUUCUGAAGUGCCAAGUGCUUAAUCAUUAAGCUUGCUCUGGGACAAAAACAUUUUACAAGUUCCACUACACAAGUAUGUUGUUGAAUUCUCUUUGAAUGCAAGGCUUUUCAAGUUAAGAAGGCCCUUGCAAGACACCAGUACCUUGAUAUUUGACUUCCAGUCUCCAGAACUUGGAACCUGAACAGUCUGCUGAAGCACCUGAUGUUUGGCCUUCCUGAAUGUCAUGUAAUACGUACUUCACCAUCAAUUCAUACAGCAGAUAUCAUCAUACACAGUCCAGGUAUGAAGAUCUGGGCUCAGAGAGACUAAGUAAGUGAAUUGCCUGAAGACACAUUGUUGAGCUCUGUGUCUUCUUGACUAACACAUGAGGCCACCUCCUGGGGCUGUUUGAACUGUUUCUGCUGAUAGGGGAGGGCAUUUCUCCAGCCCUGCUUCUAGACUCCCUCUUAAUCUUCAGAUGGCCUCUCACCCAGUUGCAUGUUGAGUUAUCCUUUCAAAAGUGUACAUGCUUUCUCUGUGGAAGCUGUGGCAAAUUUCCAGACUUGGCAUCAGGUGGCUUUUGAUGAUUCUCAAAGAUAAUAUUCAUCUAACAUGAAUACAUUUUACUGCUCCUGGGGACACCUAUAAGAAUGCCCCACUGUGGCCGGGCACAGUGUCACGCCUAUAAUUCCAGCAC
rnacentral:lncRNA from 1 species